rnacentral:rRNA from 1 species
CCUACGGGUGGCUGUAGUAGGGAAUCUUCCACAAUGGGCGAAAGCCUGAUGGAGCAACGCCGCGUGGGUGAAGAAGGUCUUCGGAUCGUAAAACCCUGUUGUUAGAGAAGAAAGUGCGUGAGAGUAACUGUUCACGUUUCGACGGUAUCUUACCAGAAAGCCACGGCUAACUACGUGCCAGCAGCCGCGGUAAUACGUAGGUGGCAAGCGUUAUCCGGAUUGAUUGGGCGUAAAGGGAACGCAGGCGGUCUUGUAAGUCAGAUGUGAAAGCCUACGGCUUAACCGGAGUAGUGCAUUGGAAACUGGGAGACUUGAGUGCAGAAGAGGUGGGUGGAACUCCAGGUGUAGCGGUGAAAUGCGUAGAGAUAUAGAAGAACACCAGUGGCGAAAGCGGCUCUCUGG